UGCCCUACGGGGGGCAGCAGUGGGGAAUAUUGGACAAUGGGGGAAACCCUGAUCCAGCGACGCCGCGUGAGUGAAGAAGUAUUUCGGUACGUAAAGCUCUAUCAGCAGGAGAGAAAAUGACGGUACCUGACUAAGAAGCCCCGGCUAACUACGUGCCAGCAGCCGCGGUAAUACGUAGGGGGCAAGCGUUGUCCGGAAUUACUGGGUGUAAAGGGAGCGCAGGCGGGAAGCCAAGUCAGCUGUGAAAACUACGGGCUUAACUUGUAGACUGCAGUUGAAACUGGUUUUCUUGAGUGAAGUAGAGG
rnacentral:rRNA from 1 species